GAUGAACGCUAGCGACAGGCUUAACACAUGCAAGUCGAGGGGCAGCAUAGAAGUAGCAAUACUUUAGUGGCGACCGGCGCACGGGUGAGUAACGCGUAUGCAACCUACCUAUCAGAGGGGAAUAGCCCGGCGAAAGUCGGACUAAUACCGCAUAAAACAGGGGCACCGCAUGGUGAUAUUUGUUAAAGAAAUUCGCUGAUAGAUGGGCAUGCGUUCCAUUAGGUAGUUGGUGAGGUAACGGCUCACCAAGCCGACGAUGGAUAGGGGAACUGAGAGGUUGGUCCCCCACACCGGUACUGAGACACGGACCAGACUCCUACGGGAGGCAGCAGUGAGGAAUAUUGGUCAAUGGGCGAGAGCCUGAACCAGCCAAGUCGCGUGAAGGAAGAAGGAUCUAUGGUUCGUAAACUUCUUUUGCAGGGGAAUAAAGUGCGGGACGUGUCCUGUUUUGUAUGUACCCUGAGAAUAAGGAUCGGCUAACUCCGUGCCAGCAGCCGCAGUAAAAC
rnacentral:rRNA from 1 species